rnacentral:sRNA from 1 species
GAUGAGAAGCUUCGACCAAGGUUCGACUCGAGCGCCAGCGAGAGAGCGUUGCCGCAGGCAACGACCCGUAGGGCGAAGCGCGCAGCGCUGAGUAAUCCUUCCCCCACCACCA